CGGGGCUUAAAGUCUUGUAAUUGGAAUGAUGGGAAUUUAAACCUCUUCCAGAGUAUCAAUUGGAGGGCAAGUCUGGUGCCAGCAGCCGCGGUAAUUCCAGCUCCAAUAGCGUAUAUUAAAAUUGUUGCAGUUAAAAAGCUCGUAGUUGAAUUUCUGCUGCAUUGCUUGUGUCCCUCUGGGGUCUGUGCAUGUGGCUUUUUUCAGACGGAGUUUCUUUGUCUGAAUGUUUACUUUGAGAAAAUUAGAGUGCUCAAAGCAGGCUUUCGCCUUGAAUAGUUUAGCAUGGAAUAAUAAAGUAGGACUUUGGUUCUAUUUUGUUGGUUUUAGGUACCAAAGUAAUGGUUAAUAGGAACAGUUGGGGGCAUUCGUAUUUAACUGUCAGAGGUGAAAUUCUUAGAUUAGUUAAAGACGAACUACUGCGAAAGCAUUUGCCAAGGAUGUUUUCAUUAAUCAAGAAC
rnacentral:rRNA from 1 species